rnacentral:ncRNA from 2 species
UUCUUAUUCAGAGUGAUGGAGAUACAAAGGAUCUGUGAAGUCACGGCAACCCCUCUACGGAAGGUGCCAACCUGAGCGAAUCGUACCUGACAGUACAUAUAUGUUCGAACAAUAAGAG